rnacentral:rRNA from 1 species
CGGCUCAGUAACACGUAGUCAAUCUACCCUAUGGACGGGGAUAACCUCGGGAAACUGAUAAUCCUACCCGAUAGAUCAUUAUACCUGGAAUGGUUUAUGGUUCAAAUGAUUUUUCGCCGUAGGAUGGGACUGCGGUCUAUCAGCUUGUUGGUGAGGUAAUGGCCCACCAAGGCUAUAACAGAUACGGGCUCUGAGAGGAGAAGCCCGGAGAUGGGUACUGAGACACGGACCCAGGCCCUAUGGGGCGCAGCAGGCGAGAAACCUUGGCAAUGUGCGAAAGCACAACCAGGUUAAUCCGAGUGGUUCCUGCUAAAGGAACCUUUUGUUAGUUUUAAAAGCACUAUCGAAUAAGGGGUGGGCAAGUUCUGGUGUCAGCCGCCGCGGUAAAACCAGCACCUCGAGUGGUCAGGAGGUUUAUUGGGCCUAAAGCAUCCGUAGCCGGCUGUUCAAGUCUUCGGUUAAAUCCAUUUGCUCAACAGAUGGGCCGCUGGAGAUACUAGACAGCUAGGGAGUGGAAGAGGUGGAUGGUACUCGGUGGGAAGGGGUAAAAUCCUUUGAUCCAUUGAAGACCACCUGUGGCGAAGGCGGUCCACCAGAACAUGUCCGACGGUGAGGGAUGAAAGCUGGGGGAGCAAACCGGAUUAGAUACCCGGGUAGUCCCAGCUGUAAACGAUGCAAACUCAGUGUUGCAUUGGCAUGUAGCCAAUGCAGUGCCGCAGGGAAGCCGUUAAGUUUGCCGCCUGGGAAGUACGUUCGCAAGAAUGAAACUUAAAGGAAUUGGCGGGGGAGCACCACAAGGGGUGAAGCCUGCGGUUCAAUUGGAGUCAACGCCAGGAAUCUUACCCGGGGAGACAGCAGAAUGAAGGUCAAGCUGAAGACUUUGCCAGACAAGCUGAGUGGAGCUGCAUGGCCGUCGCCAGCUCGUGCCGUGAGAUGUCCUGUUAAGUCAGGAAACGAGCGAGAUCCCUGCCUUUAGUUGCUACCAUUAUUCUCAGGAAUAGUGGGGCCAAACUAGAGGGACUGCCAUUGUUAAAAUGGAGGAAGGAAGGGGCUACGGCAGGUCAGUAUGGCCCGAAACCCUGGGGCCACACGCGGGCUGCAAUGAUAGUGACAAUGGGCUCCGAGU